rnacentral:rRNA from 1 species
CCUACGGGUGGCAGCAGUGGGGAAUAUUGGACAAUGGGGGGAACCCUGAUCCAGCGACGCCGCGUGAGUGAAGAAGUAUUUCGGUAUGUAAAGCUCUAUCAGUAGGGAAGAAAGAAAUGACGGUAGCUGACUAAGAAGCACCGGCUAACUACGUGCCAGCAGCCGCGGUAAUACGGAGGGGGCAAGCGUUAUCCGGAUUUACUGGGUGUAGAGGGAGCGUAGAGGGCGAUGCAAGUCUGAAGUGAAAGGCUGGGGCUCAACCCCCGGACUGCAUUGGAAACUGUAUGGCUGGAGUGCAGGAGAGGUAAGUGGAAUUCCUGGUGGAGCGGUGAAAUGCGUAGAUAUUAGGAGGAACACCAGUGGCGAAGGCAGCUUACUGGACUGUAACUGACGUUGAGGCUCGAAAGCGUGGGGAUCAAACAGGAUUAGAUACCCCGGUAGUC